CCUACGGGCGGCAGCAGUGGGGAAUAUUGGACAAUGGGCGAAAGCCUGAUCCAGCCAUGCCGCGUGUGUGAAGAAGGCCUUCGGGUUGUAAAGCACUUUCAGUGGGGAAGAAAGCCUUGGGGCUAAUACCCUCGAGGAUGGACAUCACCCACAGAAGAAGCACCGGCUAACUCCGUGCCAGCAGCCGCGGUAAUACGGAGGGUGCGAGCGUUAAUCGGAAUUACUGGGCGUAAAGCGCGCGUAGGCGGUCUGAUAAGCCGGUUGUGAAAGCCCCGGGCUCAACCUGGGAACGGCAUCCGGAACUGUCAGGCUAGAGUGCAGGAGAGGAAGGUAGAAUUCCCGGUGUAGCGGUGAAAUGCGUAGAGAUCGGGAGGAAUACCAGUGGCGAAGGCGGCCUUCUGGACUGACACUGACGCUGAGGUGCGAAAGCGUGGGUAGCAAACAGGAUUAGAUACCCGGGUAGUC
rnacentral:rRNA from 1 species